AAGGUAGCGAAAUUCCUUGUCGGGCAAGUUCCGACCUGCACGAAUGGCAUAAUGAUGGCCACACUGUCUCCUCCUGAGACUCAGUGAAGUUGAAGUGUUUGUGAUGAUGCAAUCUCCCCGCGGCUAGACGGAAAGACCCCAUGAACCUUAACUGUAGCUUUGCAUUGGACUUUGAACCGAUCUGUGUAGGAUAGGCGGGAGGCUUUGAAGAAUGGACGCCAGUUCAUUCGGAGCCGUUGUUGAAAUACCGCCCUGAUUUGUUUGAGGUUCUAACCUGGGACAGUCAUCCUGUCCGGGGACCGUGCAUGGUAGGCAGUUUGACUGGGGCGGUCUCCUCCUAAAGGGUAACGGAGGAGUGCGAAGGUACGCUAGGUACGGUCGGAAAUCGUGCUGAUAGUGCAAUGGCAAAAGCGUGCUUGACUGCGAGACCCACAAGUCGAGCAGAUACGAAAGUAGGUCAUAGUGAUCCGGUGGCUCUGUAUGGAAGGGCCAUCGCUCAACGGAUAAAAGGUACUCUGGGGAUAACAGGCUGAUACCGCCCAAGAGUUCAUAUCGACGGCGGUGUUUGGCACCUCGAUGUCGGCUCAUCUCAUCCUGGGGCUGUAGCCGGUCCCAAGGGUAUGGCUGUUCGCCAUUUAAAGAGGUACGUGAGCUGGGUUUAAAACGUCGUGAGACAGUUUGGUCCCUAUCUACCGCGGGCGCUGGAAGAUUGACAGGGGCUGCUCCUAGUACGAGAGGACCGGAGUGGACGCAUCACUGGUGCAACUGUUGUCGUGCCAACGGCAUAGCAGGGAAGCGAAAUGCGGAUGGGAUAAACGCUGAAGGCAUCUAAGCGGGAAACUUGCCUGAAGAUAAGUCUUCCUGGAGGCUAGACCUCCCUAAAGAGUCGUUCGAGACCAGGACGUUGAUAGGCCAGGUGUGGAAGCGCUGUGAGGCGUGAAGCUAACUGGUACUAAUUGCCCGUGCGGCUUGAUCCU
rnacentral:rRNA from 1 species